rnacentral:rRNA from 1 species
UUGAGCUUGAUCCCUGGCUCAGAUUGAACGCUGGCGGCAUGCCUUACACAUGCAAGUCGAACGGCAGCGCGGGGCAACCUGGCGGCGAGUGGCGAACGGGUGAGUAAUAUAUCGGAACGUACCCUGGAGUGGGGGAUAACGUAGCGAAAGUUACGCUAAUACCGCAUACGAUCUAAGGAUGAAAGUGGGGGAUCGCAAGACCUCAUGCUCCUGGAGCGGCCGAUAUCUGAUUAGCUAGUUGGUGGGGUAAAGGCCUACCAAGGCAUCGAUCAGUAGCUGGUCUGAGAGGACGACCAGCCACACUGGAACUGAGACACGGUCCAGACUCCUACGGGAGGCAGCAGUGGGGAAUUUUGGACAAUGGGCGAAAGCCUGAUCCAGCAAUGCCGCGUGAGUGAAGAAGGCCUUCGGGUUGUAAAGCUCUUUUGUCAGGGAAGAAACGGUGAGGGCUAAUAUCCCUUGCUAAUGACGGUACCUGAAGAAUAAGCACCGGCUAACU